rnacentral:lncRNA from 1 species
GAUAAACAUAUGGUUAAAUUAAAGGUGUUCUCACACAGUUUGAAUUGUACAAUAUACUAGGUGUCCACAUCCAGGUAGCAUACUAGCAUUUUUGUUAUUAUGAAACAUUUUUGUACUUUUAUUAUAAUCUGCUGAGCCUAGAGUUGGGCAAUUUGUAUAUUUAUUAUGACAAUCUUUUGGCGAAUGGUAGCAGAGCAUCUUGUUUUAACAAAAUUAUUGUUAUCACGACAAUUAGCCAGCAGGUACAAGAAUACAUCUUGUUCCAACAAAGUAAAUAUAUCUCUUUCAAUUUCAAAUUAAAAGGAAUAAAGUCAGUAACAGUGAGACCUUGCUGGUACAAGCAUAUGUAACAUGACCUGUGCUUUGCUGUUCAUGAUCAAAACUUCCUUACUUUUACUUUUUAUCUAUGGUAGGACCACCCAGAGCAGGUAUCCACAACUCCCAGGCCACAGACUGGUACCAGUCCAUGGCCUUUUUGGAACCACGCCACACAGGAGGAGGUGAGCAUCAGGCAAGCCAGAGAAGCUUCAUCUGUAUUUAUAGCCAUGCCCCAUGGCUCAUAUUACCACCUAAGCUCCGCCUCCUGUCAGAUCAGUGGUAGCAUUAGAUACUCAUGGGAGCGUGAACCCUGUUGUUAACUGCCCAUGCGAGGGAUCUAGGUUGUGUGCUUCUUAUGAGAAUCUAAUGCCUGAUGGUCUGUCACUGUCUCCCUUUGCCCCCAGAUGGGACCAUUUAAUUGCAGGAAAACAAGCUCAGAGAUUCCACUCAUUCUACAUUAUGGAUAUGUGCAGCCGAAGCAAGCACAAAGCCCCACUUUUACACAUGGACAGUGAUGAGUCACGAACAAGAUUUGGCUCUCAGUCUAACUAACCUACUUGAGAUCUCGAGAAUUAUCUCCAAAGGUUUCCUGUGAGGUAGAAUUAGAAAAUAUUUUUAAAUCUUGAGGAAGAGAUGCAAGUAGCUUGGGAGAUUUUCAUUAUCAUGGAAAAUAGAUCACUCAAGGGGCCAACCACAACUGGGUGCCCACUGCUCUAGGGAAGCCCACGCCCACCUGGGGAAAGGCCAAGCCCCUCCACCCACCCGCCAAGGAAACCCCCAGCCCAGCCAGGGGAAUGCCAAGCCCAGCCAAGAAAAGGUCAAGCCCAGCAAAGGAAUGCACAGGGAGGAAAUGCCAAUCCACGCGAGGACCACGAAGCGAAGCGACCAACGCCAAGCCAAGCAUGGAACGCCAAGUCAAGAGACCAACACCAAGCCAAGCGACGAACGCCAAGCCAAGCCGUUACAUACGCAUGCGCAGAACACCAAGCCAAGCUGCUGCGGCGUGCGCGUGCGGCGUACCUCAGAUGGCAAGUUACUGCACGUGGCAGUGUCCGACGUGUGCAACCCGCGUGCUUGUAAGUUCUGGUGCCACAAAUGUCAGUGACAGCCUUGUGUUCCCGCCAGACCUCGUGGAAACUGGCCAAGCUUCAGGCCAUUGAUAAGGAGAGGCAGCCCGUGGGAAAAGGCGUCUACAAGCAGGACUGGGGCCAGAGCGCCUGGUACUUGAGGAUGCUGACUGUCUCCUCUGAAGAAAGCCCCGAAGACACUCGUGGCGGUGCUGUGCCCAGGUGGCCGCGGCUGCAGGGGAGGGGCAGCCUGGCGGAACUCGCUGCAAAUGGCCUCAAAAUCGUGGAACAUAAGCCGCCCACGGUCUCCAGGCCCUGCUGAGCGGGGGGAGGAGCACGAGCACCUACCACUGACGGUGAGAUGCAGAAAGGCAUCCCUAUGUGCAGAUCCUGGGAACAGGAUGCUUUAAGCCCCAGGGAGCCAGAUCAGGCAACCCUGUCAGCACAGUUGAGCUGGACCCGGGCAGUGGCUCUGUGACCCUCCUGCAGGGACCCUCCUGCUACACAGCUCCACGUGGCCAGGCUCCAGGGUGCUCACCCAAACAGCAAGCGCUUUGGUGUGGGAUGAAAAAUGGAUUCCGAACCUAGGACACAGACCUGCUCUUGCCAACAAAAGUAGAGAGGAAGACAAUUAGGAGUGCAAAAAGAAUGUAUUCUUUUGUAACUCAAGUCUUGCCUGAUCUGGAGGGUUAAGCUAAGGCUCCUCUUGCUUGAUACUAAAUGAACUUUUGAAUGAAAUAGAGAAAAAGAAAGAAGACACACACACUAAAUCGCCUUGUCCCACUGUGAUCCCCUGAGCCAGCAAGCAAGGGGAGGCCUGGCCUCCUGGGCCCUCUCCCCACCUGAGGGCAGAGCAGUUUCCUCCAGGGUUGCAGGGAGCAGCUGGGCUCCGUGGGCUGGGCCACCCUUCCUUCGUUUAUGGGCAUCCCCACACCUGCACUCCCCCACGCAGAGUUCCAUGAUCUGGGUUCAAAUCCCAGCUCCGACCCUCAGCACCUGUGCCACCUGGCAAAUGCCUUACCCCCACGCACUUGCUGUGUCCUUCUCGACAGGAGGGAUGGGAGCCGGUGUCCCUGGCAUGCAGCGUUGUGACAGUCAAACACAAGCGGGAGCAGGCAGACACGUGGACAGGGGCCUGGCUGCUGGGGGUGCUCACCAGAGGGCAUCAACCCAUCUGCCCAGGUGGUCUUGCAAGUCUCAGCACUUAUUAGGCACCUGACUAUGGUAGACAGCUGAACAAAGCCCUGAGCUGCCCUGGGGAAUAUGACCAGGGUGAUGGACCAGGAAGGACAGUUGGGGUGCUUGGCAUGAGUAAGGAGGGGCCAGAGAAAUGCCAGUCUCUCCCCACCAGCUAUGGGUCAUGGAUCAUCUGUAUGGGGCACCCUCAGUGGGCUGAGAACCCAGAGAUGCCACAAGGUUUGGCCGCAUCCUAGGCUUCCUGAAUUCCAGCCCAGCCAUGGCCCAGGCUUGGGGGUACUUUGGGCUCUUAGUUGGGAUGAGGAGGGGCCAGGUGACACUCCUCAUAUGUCCCAGGAUCUGAUCAAGAAAGUGGUGCCCUGUCACUGCCUGGGACCAUCUGGUCUCAGUGAAACAAUUAGGGCAGGAAGACCCUAGCACCCACCUUCUGGGCCACGAACACCCAGGUCCACAGUGUGGCCACCUGAGUCAGCACCACUUGCCUUGGGAGCCAGAGCAUGAAGGCCCAGACAAGACUAGCAUGGUGGAGCAGUGGAUGCAGGUACGCAG